rnacentral:tRNA from 1 species
GCUACGAUGGCCGAGUGGUUAAGGCGUUGGACUCGAAAUCCAAUGGGAUAUUCCCGCGCAGGUUCGAAUCCUGUUCGCAGCG